CAAGACACAAAAGCACACAGUGAUAUUGAUCAUCCUGACCCUAGGCCUACCCAGGGUCAGGAAUGAUCAAUAUCACUGUCUUCCACCUCCACAUUUUGUCCCACAGGAAGGUCUUCAGGGGCAAUAACACACUGAGGCUGCCAUCUCCCACUGCGACAAUGGCUUCUUUUGGAUACCUCCUGAAGGACCUGCCUGACGAUGUUUUACAAUAAACUCUCUUUUUGUCAGAAGUAGGAGUGUACUCUAAAGUAUGGUAAAUGCACACACCAGUAACAUAGCUGUUUAUUCUCAUUAUCAAGUACUGUACACAAUUGUGCAUGCUAUACUUUUGUAUGCCUGGCAGAGCAAUAGGUUUGUUUGCACCAUCAUCACCAUAAACAGGCUAUGCACUGUGCAAUAAUGAUUACAAUGACUCCAAAGUCGUCACUAGACGAUAGGAACAUUUUAGCUCCAUUGUAAUCUCAUGGUACCAUCAUCGUACAUGCGGUUUGUCGUUAACCCAGACGUUCUUAUGCAGCACAUGACUGUACUUGGCCUGCCCCCGCAUAUCCCUUGUUAAAUCAGGAACAGCUAAGAAAGGGGCAGUCUGUGUAUUGCAUCAUGACCCAGAGGGCUCUUAGUGACCUGUGUUUCUCAAACCUUAACAUGCAUGUAUAUCACCUAGUCAUCUGCUUUAAAUAUAAAAUCUGAUGAAGUCUAGGAUGAAACCCAGGAUUCUACAUUGUUAAUAAGCCCCUCAUUGAUACUACUGCUGCUGGUCUAUGAAUCACAUGUAGCAAAGUUCUAGAAGAUGGGUUGGGGCAGUUCCCAGACAGCCAUAUUUUUUUCUGUGCCAGUUGCAUCACAUGGCCGUUUUAUGCCAUUCUUCUGGCUCCUGGAUACUUAGCACAUCUUGUCACAGAGUCACAGAGUGGGGUUUCUUCAAAUGUGCUUGUCCUUUCUGAGUAGACACUCAUGUCCUCUAAAAUCUUCUCCCUUAGCCUCUUCUAACCACUAGACUCACAAGAACUCCCAAUCUCUGUUUUGUCCUCAUCUAGUUUUCAUGGAAACAAGUGAUCUGAUGAGCACCAUUAAUGAUAGUGUAAUCCAUGAGUACCAAUUCAAUAAAAAUAUUUAUGAAGUAUUUAUUUCGUUUUUUAUUUACAAAAGUUAAAAUGCUAUAUGGCUAAAGAGAUAGAUCUCUAAUGGGAGAAUUUCAAUCAUUGUGGUAGGUAGACAAACAUUUUAAGACAGACACAGUGCUACCCAAUUGUCUUGAAAUAUCACAGUUAAAAGUACCAAAACUUUUAACUGUGUGCUUUGGGGUCUGAAGAUGCCAGGGAUACUGGUUGCCACGCUGACUGGCUCGUUGUGGACUCAGCAGUGGGCUGAGUUCACCCCUACCAUGUGCUGAACUGACUUCAGAACCAAGGGCAGUGACCAAAGAGACCUGUCCUUGUCCUAGCUAAAAUCAUCCAGGUAGUAUAGGUGAAAUUAAUCAUCUACAUUCAAAAUUACAUUUUGUUGUGUGUAACAUCCAUUGAGAAUUUUCAUAAAGUUUUUUCAUAAAGAAAACUACCUACAUUAGAUAAACACUCGGCCAACAGAGGAGUACAGAUGGGCAGAGUUGGGUACCUGAAUCCUUAGUGUUGAGCAGGGUAUAAUAAGUGUCCCAAUUAUUACAUUUGUCUUAAAGCCUAUUCAUGUUUUUUUAAUCUAAUCGAAAUAAGUCAGUCAUGGCACUAAAGAUUCCUAAAUAGGGACUGUCUUUUUCUGUCUCAUAUGUGAGCAUUUUAAUGAAAAUAUUCCCCCAAUAUCCUAAAGGCAUUUCUAUGUCUUCCCAAGCAAGUGAUUCUCUGCAGUCUGUGUAAGAAGGGUUCAUUGAUUUCUAAAGAUACAAAUGUAUUGAUCUUCUAUAUAAACACCCAGAAUCCAUUUGAAAAUGCUACAAGACGUUGUUGUGUCUUGCACCCAGUAGCACAAAAAUCUUGGAAGAUAAUAAUUGCUUCCAGUAAGGCCCUGUGUUUACUCAGGUUUCUUCAUUUCCCAUAUGCGUGUGUUUGCACGCCAAGCCAGGAGCAUGUACUCCCAUCAUUAGUAACUUCUUACAAAAUAGACUUCCUCAAUUUACUGCAAAUUCUGAAGGAAUAGGAAUGAAGCAAAUAAAUGUGGUCCAUCUUUCUUCAGAUGCUCCUGCAGUGUGUGUCUGGCAAUUCUUUCAUCUACCUAUUUAGACCAGCUGGAAUGGGGAAAGAGGAAUGCUUUGAAUAAGAAUACAACAGUUGCAGGAAAAUUUUUCAUCAGCCAGGGCUGUUGAUAAAACAGUCAGCUUGAGGUUAGGAGUGACGCAUAUUGGAGUCUCUGCCUGAGACAUCAAAGUUAUUCAUCAGAGAACCUGAAAGUAAAUCGUAGUCUCCCAAUUGUUUUUUUUUUUUUUUUUGCUAGUGCCAUUCAGGCAAAAGCAGGCAUCUAGGCUAAUGCUAACCUAGAAUUUGCCAGCCCAUAAUUCUAAUAAUCUUUCAAAGUAUUUCCAUCUAAUCUCAGAGAGAUGAACAUUGUCAUUUCAAAUAGUUAAUUCCCCUAGUUAUAGAAAUUGCUUGGCAAAUGCUCAUAUUAAUUUGCCAAUUAAAGGAGUCGCCUGGAUCAUGGCCAGCAGUGUCUCACAUGGCACAUGAUGGCUCUCCUACACACCCAAUCCAGGCCUAUUCUAGGCAAAAUAUAUAAUUUUGUAUAAAAAGUAAGACUUAUACUGGGGUUUAAUAUGAGAAAAAUGAGAAGAAUAAAGACGAUUUCUUACUGUGGUGGUUGCAAACCUGGAUCCUGGGAUUGGGACAUGAACUUGAAUUGCGAUGAUAAAACUUCCUUACUUGUAUAGCUUGGGUCCUUCGCCUGCAAUAUGGAAUGCUUGCAGUGAGGUACACUAAGAUCAGGUAAAGGACAUGUGUACAGAGUCUGCACAUGGGGAGAGCUCAGAGCUUAGAGCCAUUGCUACGCUUUUCUGAUCCCACCUGCCCAGGUCUACUCAAUCUUCACCAGCCCUAAAGGAAAAGAGAACAGAAGCAAACAAAAAAAAUACAUGCAAAGGCUACAUGGUGGGAGACAGAAUGGAAAGAACUGUGGAGAACUUUCUAGAACUGUUGCUAUACCCUCAGAAGUAAUGAAAUGAAGUUAAAGUCUUCCUUUCACUUGUUCUUUGGCAACCAGGGUGACUCAGCCUGAGCAUCAGACUUUACACUUUAUGUUUGCACUUCCCUCUUUGUGACUGUUCUCAUAAGAAAAGGACUGUUGUGCUGCUGUGUUUUCCAAAAAUUACAGGGAAAAUACCACUGGGGGAAAAAACCAAACCCCUCCAAAUAGCUGUUUCCUUUAUUCAGCUACGACUGUCCUACAGUGCCAUCUGCCCUCACAGCUAAACUGAGCAGAGUUCUUGGGAGCUCCACAGAUCCCUGGGUUGCAGCUUUCUGAGGCUGGAUAGAACAAGGUAACUGGAGGUUUCCAGACUACUCUAGAAAUGUUGUUUCUCUGGUGGUCCAAAGUUUUCCAGCAUUUUUUCUACAUGGGUGGAAUAAUGAAAAUGAGCAUGAAGAGGAGGCCGAGAAGGAGCAAAAAGAUAUGUCCCAGUGUUAUUUUUCUCAUCUGCAAAGGGAACAAUUCCUUUAGACAUAGACUCCACUUUGACAAAGCUGCUGCAUCCAAAUGUCCUAUACUGUGAACAAUGUUUGGUCAUCUAGCCACAUUUCUGGCAUAUACACAAAAGGUAACAGAUAUUCAUAGUUUGGAAUACCCACAAGUAUUUCUAUCCUUUAGAAAGAUUUGGAGUGUAGGAAAAACAGAGCAAGUUACUGUUUGGCUAGUUCAAGCCUGGCUUACUCACAAACAUUUCAAAUUCAGAGCAUCUGGAAGCUUCUUCAAUGUACUUCCGAGUACACAGCUUAGAGAAGCGUGCACUUUGAUAGUCCCAACCAGGGUGGCUGUAUACAAGGCCACUGAGCCCUUGAUAACAUGUUUUCUGUCUCCAGAUCCCUUCCAGCAAGGUGUUUGUGAGGCUGGUUGCUCAGGCACCAGGCGAUGCUCUCCACUCUGCUCCCAUUCUGCUGCUAAUAAAACCCCUGGGAGCCAAUUAUAAUGCAGUCACUCCUCCAGCAGAGGUUCAGCCUGCAUUUUAUAGAAGGCACCCAUAUUGCCCACUAGAGACCCUGGAAUCAGAGUUCUGUUCAGUGUCUGUCUGUAUUCCCUGGAACUUUCACAUUACUGAAUCUACAAAGAACACAAAACUUGCCUUUUUUGAGUAUAUGUGGGUAAGGCUCGAUGGUGAGUGUGAGGCGCAUUGACUUGUUUACCAAACAUCUUUGAAAUGAGAGUAAUUUUAGUUACUGAAGUGAUGACAUUUUGUUUUAGCCCUCUCUUCUGAGUGAAUUAUGUGAAAAUGUCUAAACAAGCAAAAAUGCCCUUUCUGUACAUUGCAAAAUGGUGGCCUUUAAAGCAACCUACUAAUAUUGUUUAUUUAAGGGAAAACAUUUAAGAAAGUAUAGUAGCCAUGCGAUUAAGAAAGAUUUUUCAAAACUGCUCGCAUAAAAGUCUAAAACAGAAUAUCUAAAAGAAGUAUGUGGAUAAUAUGGAUUAUAUGGGGAAUGCAUUGUUGCAGACUAUGGUCACAGUAUGAAAAAAAAUUGAAACAAAAAAUGUGUAUUUGGAUGUCCUGAGGUGAGAAAUGAAAUGCACAAUUUUAUUGCAGAAGGUAGAAGAUUGUCAGAAAACAUACCGAGCUGGCAGUUAGGAACUCUGAAUUUUCAUCAGAGUCAUUGAUGUCAUUUAGCAUCUUGGACUCCAAUUCAUUCAUUGAUAAAAAUGAAGACUAGGACUUAGUCACAGAAGUCAUGGAUAAAAAAAUUGCUUUGUAAGUGUGAUGUCGGACAAGGCAGAAAGAACGACAAGGGUCAUCAGAGAGCUGUAGAGAGGAAAAAGCAGCUGUGAGCUUUCGAGCUUUAUGACUAUGCCUUGAGUUACCUUCAACAUGCAUGUUCUUUGAGGAGACACACAUGAAGACAGAUUAUUUUCCUGUAGCUACAAAAUCAAACUGUUCCUGUUCAUGUGAUUCUUGAAGAUUUUUGGUUUGUUUUGAUUUUGGUUGUUGCUUACUCCACAAAAGAGCUUCUUUGAUGAAAUAUAUGUCAAUAAAGUGUUAUUAAAUCCA